CCACAUUCAUUCUGUGUCAGAAACCUAUGCUGUGUGAACUAUUUAAUCACAAUCCAAAUUUAGAGCUGAAUCCAGCUUGAAUGUUGUGUCCAUACUUUCCCCAACCGUUCAGGGUUCAACCUCUGCAGUCGUAUAAAGCUGCGCCCUGAGCAUCUGGUUUGUUAUAUGCAAAUAAAAACACACCACAUCAAUAUUGAUCAUGAUUUUAAAAAAAGGGCAUAACAACUUUCCCUUAUUUAACCAAAGGCAACAUGUUUAGCAAUUAACUAUAAUUGCACUUUGAUAUAUUAUUUUAUCCA
rnacentral:lncRNA from 1 species